rnacentral:lncRNA from 1 species
AGGCAGGAAGUGACACAGCUGGGCAGAAUCAGAAUAUAAGCAGGGGCAAACAGGAAAUUGCUCUCAUCUCUUUUCUGCUGCGAUGCUGAACAGUGAAGAUGUGGGACGCUGGAGGAGUAAGAGGUCCCUGGACCUUUCUCUGGGUCACAAAACUGAAGACGUGACUAAGAAUACACCUAGACAAUCCCAAUGGAAGGGGCCGUGCAAGGAAGCGAAGC